rnacentral:rRNA from 1 species
GACGAACGCUGGCGGCGUGCCUAAUACAUGCAAGUAGGACGCAGUUGCGAACGGGUGAGUAACGCGUAGGUAACUACCUAUUAGAGGGGGAUAACUAUUGGAAACGAUAGCUAAUACCGCAUACUAGUAGAUGGACCUGCGUUGUAUUAGCUAGUAGGUAGGGUAAUGGCCUACCUAGGCAACGAUACAUGCCCGACCUGACAGGAUGGUGGGACACACUGGGACUGAGACACGGCCCAGACUCCUACGGGAGGAAGCAGUGGGGAGACUUCGGCAAGGGGGGGAACCGUGGAAGAGCAACGCCGCGGGGGUGAAGAGAGUUUUCGGAUCGUAGAGAUCUGUUGUUAAGGAAGCGGUACUUAACCAGAAAGGAACGGCUAACUACGUGCCAGCCGCCGCGGUAAUAC